UACGAAGGGGGCUAGCGUUGCUCGGAAUCACUGGGCGUAAAGGGCGCGUAGGCGGCCGAUCAAGUCAGGGGUGAAAGCCUGUGGCUCAACCACAGAAUUGCCUUUGAUACUGUUUGGCUCGAGACCGGAAGAGGUUGGUGGAACUGCGAGUGUAGAGGUGAAAUUCGUAGAUAUUCGCAAGAACACCAGUGGCGAAGGCGGCCAACUGGUCCGGUACUGACGCUGAGGUGCGAAAGCGUGGGGAGCAAACAGG
rnacentral:rRNA from 1 species